rnacentral:lncRNA from 1 species
UGAGGUAUUGUAUCGACCUACCACUUGAUGGUGAAAUUCCUACUCCACAUGGAGUCAAUGAGCUUCAAGGAAACCAGCAGCUUGCAAAGGAAUGCUACAUGCCAACUUUACAUAGAGCAACACCCAUGGAACAGUCGGUAGAUGAGUUGGACCCACCAGACGAGCUAACUGAACGAAGAAGUCAGUUAGUGGAAGACCUAAUCCUGGUGCCCAUUGAUGAAGAUCCGAAUAAAGUGGUAAAGAUCAGUUCAAACCUAUGUGAAGAGGAUCGUCGGCACCUCAUCUCCUUCCUAUGGGCC